rnacentral:rRNA from 1 species
CAGUCGCCGCGGUAAUACGUAGGUCCCGAGCGUUGUCCGGAUUUAUUGGGCGUAAAGCGAGCGCAGGCGGUUUGAUAAGUCUGAAGUUAAAGGCUGUGGCCCAACCAUAGUUCGCUUUGGAAACUGUCAAACUUGAGUGCAGAAGGGGAGAGUGGAAUUCCAUGUGUAGCGGUGAAAUGCGUAGAUAUAUGGAGGAACACCGGUGGCGAAAGCGGCUCUCUGGUCUGUAACUGACGCUGAGGCUCGAAAGCGUGGGGAGCGAACAGGAUUAGAUACCCCUGUAGUCCCUGUCUCUUAUACA